UCACCUCCAUGGCUGCUGGCCCCCAGGCUGGGUGAGUAUAUCUUCGCAAGGCUCACCCUCAAGCACGACUAGGAGC
rnacentral:pre_miRNA from 1 species